AAUCACAAUGUACUUUAAUAUUCCAUGGCUAGUAUUCCACUUAACAUCAGUCAAAAUCUAAUUUAAUCAUAAUCCAAAAUACAAAUUACUCCGUCGAGAAAUCUCCAAAAUAGCUUUUUUUUUUUUUGGCAUGGCUCGUUAGCAUUCUGAUUCAAAACACCAAAAUCCUUAGUAGUCUUAAAUCUUAAGCUCUAAUACCAUACCUGUCACAAUCAUGCCCCUAGAAUGGCUUUGUAUUAGCCCUAGCUUCUUUCUUUUUUUUUUUGCUCAUUAUCACCUAUCAAAAUAUUUGUGUCAAGCAAUUUUCGUGACUGACCGAUGAUACGACCAAUAAAAUCUUUUCUUUCCUUUCCGGUUAUGCGGAAUCUCACUAAAUGAGACUUAACUACCCAUUUCCUUAUUAAAGCUUAAAAUUUUUACUCAUGGUUAACCUAUUGCUCUGAUACCACUAGAAUGUCACGCCCCGGACCCAGAUCCGUGACACGGCCGU
rnacentral:lncRNA from 1 species